rnacentral:rRNA from 1 species
AACGAACGCUGGCGGCAGGCUUAACACAUGCAAGUCGAGCGCCCCGCAAGGGGAGCGGCAGACGGGUGAGUAACGCGUAGGAAUCUACCCAUCUCUACGGAAUAACGCAUGGAAACGUGUGCUAAUACCGUAUACGUCCUUCGGGAGGAAGAUUUAUCGGAGAUGGAUGAGCCCGCGUUGGAUUAGCUAGUUGGUGGGGUAAAGGCCUACCAAGGCGACGAUCCAUAGCUGGUCUGAGAGGAUGAUCAGCCACACUGGGACUGAGACACGGCCCAGACUCCUACGGGAGGCAGCAGUGGGGAAUAUUGGACAAUGGGCGCAAGCCUGAUCCAGCCAUGCCGCGUGAGUGAUGAAGGCCCUAGGGUUGUAAAGCUCUUUCACCGGUGAAGAUAAUGACGGUAACCGGAGAAGAAGCCCCGGCUAACUUCGUGCCAGCCGCCGCAGUAACAC